GUGUGUGUGGGUAGGACACCUAAUGCCCCCUAGGGAAGGUGGGUGUAGGUGGUAUCCAAUCAGGUGUGUGGGUAGGACACCUAAUGCCCCCCUAGGGAAGGUGGGUGUAGGAGGUAUCCAAUCAGGUGUGUGGGUGGGACACCUAAUGCCCCCUAGGGAAGGUGGGUGUAGGAGGUAUCCAAUCAGGUGUGUGGGUAGGACACCUAAUGCCCCCUAGGAAGGUGGGUGUAGGAGGUAUCCAAUCAGGUGUGUGGGUUGGACAUCUAAUGCCCCCUAGGGAAGGUGGGUGUAGGAGGUAUCCAAUCAGGUGUGUGUGGGUAGGACACCUAAUGCCCCCUAGGGAAGGUGGGUGUAGGUGGUAUCCAAUCAGGUGUGUGGGGUAGGGACAUCUAAUGCCCCCCUAGGGAAGGCGUGG